GGCGGUUCUUGACGCACUGAGGUUCCUGAUUGACGCAGGCCUAGUUGCUAAUUUUAGCCGCUGCCUGUCCGACGGAGGCAGGGUGAGACUGCAGAGAGCCCAUUCAUUGUACCGGGGCGGGACCGACUAUUUUAACGCCGCGAUUGUGAUCCUGCCAAGCCAAAUAUAGUCGUAGACAGGUAUUUUUAGGCACAGAGUGUGUCCCCGUUCUCUCAUCUGGCAAAGCGCGGCGUAUAUUGUAGCGUCUGAAAUGAGCCGCGGCUCUGAAAGUGUAAAGCUGUUUUUCGGCUGGAUAGUUUUACAGUCAGCUGAUAGCAGCCAUACCCCGGAGAGAGGGAGAGGGAGAGAGGGACUGACGGGGGUAAAUCCCAGUAACCCCACAGGUUUCCCCUCACUCCGGGGGAAAGGGUGGAAAAGAGCGUAGAUCCGAAGAUAAAUAGCCGGCAAGUCUUCACACAGACACAGUCAACAGACGCUUGAAAAUAACCACAUUACAGAGCACCAGCUGCACUUCAGCUUUCUGAGCCUCGUCUGAAGGGGUAAAAAAAAGAAGAUAAAUAAGUUUACCAUUAGGUAAUUGUCUGCAGCACUCGUCUGGAGCGAGGAACAAACCUGACCACUUAGGUAUCCCAGGAAUCCACUGCAUCAUCACAUUCUGCUCCGAUAACGCUGGAACUGCCCGAUUCCUAUCGCUGUGGAUGUUGCAGCUGUCUUCUUCUCUAAGAUCCCAACAAACCCACACCUCACCCUGAAGCUGCCUGAAGAUUAUGGAUUGAGGAAGGGGCCAUUAUCCAUUCAUUCUGACAUGCCUGGGCUCAAAUCAAAUGUCUGCAAGCCCUGAAGUGGUUAUCCUGAUGACUGCCGGAGCAUUAAGAGGGAACUCCCUACUGGGAGACGCAGCAGGUUUCUGCUUUUGGGCGUCCCUCACUUGGUCAUCAAACGCGGAUCAAUUUCAGCCGCAUGUCCAUCCAUUUCAUGCUCUACCAACCAGGACUGAGAUCAGGGAGUUUUUAAUGAUGGACAGAGAAACAUUGAUUCUCAAGAAACUACUUAUAGUUCUAUGUUUUACCCUCCGGUGACAGCCUGCUCAGAAAACUGGAGAAAUUUGCCCACAAGUGCCUUCCUUCGUUCCUUCCUACAACUACCCAUCCAUUCAUCCAACCUGUCUACAAAGGCCUGUCAUAACAAAUGAAGAUCCAACACGAUCGAUGAAGAACAGCUCAUAGAAAACUGUUCAACCCAUCAUAUAAACAUGGUAAGAAAAUGCCCUCCACUCAAACUGGCCAACAUUCUACAGCUCAGGUGGGAGAAUCUGUUGAUUAAAAUCAUAAAUUUCCUCCUGCAUAUCACCUUGAUCCACACUGUGAGACAUGGUAGUGGCAGCAUCAUGCAGCUGUGUUAACCUCUGUCUGUCUUCAGUGGGGCUGAAAACAACCACACGCUUCACUUUUCAUUUUUUUACAGCAAAGAAAAAAUCAAAAAUCAAAAUCCAUGCUUCCUUUUCCUUUCUCUUCCCACAUUUACAACUUUAUGUUGGUUUUACACAAAACAAUUUUAACAAAAUGCAAGUUCAUGGUUGUAACAAUAAGAAGCAUGGAAAAGAGUAAGAAAAGCUUUCCUCACUGCUCGACCGCUGAAGGAAACAGCAAGUUGACGGGUGUAGAUGCUGCCAGGAGGAGUUAGAAACUACAGGUUGCAGCAACAGAGGCGGCAACAGUUCUCCACACUCUGCCUGUGCUUGUUUUACUCCUGAUCUCUGAGGGGACAGCUCUGCAGCGGCUGCUUCAUAUUUAAUUGUUUUCGUUGAAUUAUUCUGGCUCACUGCCGUGUUGUGCCACCGUGAAUUGGACCACGGAGUCCGUCAGCGCAUCUCAGUGUGUGUGUGUUUUCUGUGCGGACGACAGGGAGAGGGAUGCCACGAACAAUGGGAGCUUCGCGGAAAGCAGGGGCAUAGCAACAGGAUGAAUUAGUGAACAGGCAUGAAAUGCUACGUUUAACACAAAGCUCAGGAGCUUUGUGGCAGCUGGAGGUUUCAUAUUCAACACGGAUAGCCUGGUGAUGCAGGUUGGACCAAAAACACCCCAACAGCUGCAAAAUAAGAAACUAUGAAGAGUCCACUUAUCUGGAAGGUUUAUACUGAUAAAUAAAAUAACAUUUUUGAUCAUGUCACUUCAGAAAUAAAUUAUAGAGGACUCUUAAAGUUCAACAUGGCUGUAGAAACAGUUUAUGCUGCGCAAUGUUCAGUAAUAAUCAUUUUUAAGAGUCACACAUAGUGUAAAAGUGGAACUACCUUUCCUGAGUGAUGACAGUUUUAUACUGUAGUUACUAAAUGCUGACUCAGGACAGGUUGGUAAAAUGGUCUGCAGCGCCCCCCUCAGGACAGACAAGACAGGCAGAGGCAACAUGCAGAUGAACCAACAUGAAUAUUGCAACCAGCACUUUAAAUGUACAUUAAAGCACAAUAAUGUCAGUGUGGGGGACAUCUGAUGAGAUUUACAUACCAGGCCAUUUUUAGAUGAAUAAAGAGAAAUAUACAAACUAAUUGUGGCACAGCCUGUUGUUACACACCAUGUCCAUACCAGCACACAAAGCUCAAAUCACCUCAAACUGGUUUCUUGAACAUGAAAACAUGAAUUCACUGAACUUCAGUGGACUCCACAGUCACCAGAUCUUAUUCUCCCUUUUCACCACAUGUUAAGUACCUUUAACAUGUGGUGAAAAGGGAGAUUCACAUGGGUGUUCAGAUGACAAAUAUGCAUCACCUGCAUGACGUGAUCACAUAAAUAUGGACACAGAUCUCUGGGAAUUGUUUUUAAAUCCUUGCUGAAUCAAUGCUAUGAUGAACUGAGGCAGUUCUGAAGGUAGACAGAGCUCCAACUCGGUACUAUCAAAUUGUACCUAAUAACUUGGUACAACUUAAUAGUUGUGUCUGAACCAAAGGUAUGCAUGGCUAGAAGGUGAAUUUUAUGAUAAUUUAAGCAAAAAGCAAAUUUU